ACCGGUCAAACCCGGGAGUCAGGACCCUCACUUAAGCAGUCUUAGAUUCCGGAUGAUCUAAGCAGGGCAGUUCCUUCAAGUCACUGAAAUGUGACUAUUCUCUUAAAAUUACUUUCAAUUCUUCCAAGUCCUUCUGGAAAGCUGAAUCCUAGGGAGACAAAAUAAGACAGUACUCAAAAAUCUAAGCCAGCAUUUCCCAAACCAGUGAUACUGUCCCCCUUCUGAGCUCUGUUUUUCCCAGGAUAGCCUGCCGCCUAUGGAAUCUGCCUCCUUUCCCAGGUAAGAUAUAUACAAAGGAGCCUAUAUGCAAAAAUAUAGACUCUAUAUAGGGAAAUAAGACCUUAAGGGAAGAUUUUCUUUCCUGAAUAGGUCACAUGAUUCAAUAAUGGAAUCUGGUAUUAGAAAAGCUCUUCAGGGAUGCCUGGGUGGCUCAGGGUGUGAUUCCAGGAUCAAGUCCCAGAUUGGGCUCCCUGCAAGGAGCCUGCUUCUCUCUCUGCCUGUGUCUCUGCCUCUAUGUCUCUCGUGAAUAAAAAGUAAAAUCUUAAAAAAAAAAGAAAAAGAAAAGAAAAGAAAAAAAAAUCUUCAAAGUAUUACCUCAUUGGUGAUAUCUGGCAGCUCCAGGGCUAACUCCAACCACUGUCUAGCUUCAGAGUUUUUCCCUAGUUCUCUGUAGCACUGAAAAGAGACAACAGUGAAAACCUGGGAGAAACACCACCAGGAGACUGGACUUUCAUCUAUGUUGCAAAAGGCAGUUUUCUAGGCACCAAGACUGAUAAAUCGAGGCCUAAACGUGAAAGCUCUUGAAAAGGAUCUCCUCUAGCUGAGGAACAUCAUGCCUACAACACUGGAGAAAGGAACACACUGCGAAAUGGGAUUUCUCCUUUGAUUAAAAUGGAGAUGACUUCAAAAGGAACAUGGAGAAGCUGGAGCAAACGUAAUGGGUUGAGGUGAUAGGCUGGCUGAUGUGAAAUGUUUCCUCAUACUUAAAUGAUAGUAAUUAUGGUAUAAUGUUGUAUAAAUAUUUUUCAAGCUGAUUGAUAAGAAACUCUCCCCUCACCCCAAGCUCAAUUUCCGCUUUCUAAACAAUAUGUGGCUCCAUCAGUGAGGGACACGGUCUUAGUGGAUUUUUCUCUACCCACUUCAAAGCAUGAUCUUACUAGAAAAAUAAGAGCUGAGAGUACCUUCCUGCCAACUUGGGAGGGAUGAAAAGAUACCCCACCUGAGAUCCCACAGAACGGCUGCCUCGUGGUAGUCCAACUUUGAGAGAACAAAAUGAAAACCUUUAGACCCAUGAAGGAUGGUCCUAAAAAGGGAAAUUCUAGGAGGACCUCUAACGAUACUCCAUCUGUCCUACAGCAGGAGCAGACUUAUACAGGGCUGUGAAACUUAGAAAGGAAUGUAGAAAUUUUUAAAAAGAAAAAAGCAAACAGUAACACCUUCUGUUAAAACUUGGAGAUCAUCUUUCAGAGGAUCUGUAUCAAUAAACAUUCAAUUCAA